GGUGCCACAGACGCCAGCGACAGGCGCGCGCAUCCUGUAGGACUGCGGCCGCCGUGACCGGCCGUCGUCGCGGCGCAGACCGAGGUGAAGAUCAGGCCCACGACACCCAUCGGAGAGGGAACGUCCACAAACCUGCACCAUGGUUUCAAGAGCGGUUUUCGUCAUUGUCUGCGCAUCGCUGUUCCUUUCUGGGUAUUGUGUGCCGUCCGAAAGACGACUGCACGAUGACCUUCUGGGCG